rnacentral:rRNA from 1 species
GCGCAGCAGUCGCGAAUCUUCGGCAAUGGGGGAAACCCUGACCGAGCGACGCCGCGUGUGGGAUGAAGGCCCUUGGGUUGUAAACCACUGUCAGAGGGGAUGAAAUGCCGGAAAGUUAUCUCUCCGGUUUGACAUAGCCUCAGAGGAAGCACGGGCUAAGUUCGUGCCAGCAGCCGCGGUAAGACGAACUGUGCAAACGUUAUUCGGAAUCACUGGGCUUGAAGAGUGCGUAGGCGGUUUCGUAAGUAGGGUGUGAAAGCCCCCGGCGUCAACCGGGGAAGUUGCGUCCUAAACUAGCGAGGCUGGAGUGAGGUAGGGGUGGUGUGGAACUUCCAGUGGAGCGGUGAAAUAGUGUUGAUAUUGGAAGGAACGCCGGUGGCGAAAGACGACACACUGGACCUUGUCUGACGCUGAGGCACGAAAGACCACGGGGAGG